rnacentral:rRNA from 1 species
GAGGAAUAUUGGUCAAUGGACGAGAGUCUGAACCAGCCAAGUAGCGUGAAGGAUGAAGGUUCUAUGGAUUGUAAACUUCUUUUAUACGGGAAUAAACGAAUCCACGUGUGGAUUUUUGCAUGUACCGUAUGAAUAAGGAUCGGCUAACUCCGUGCCAGCAGCCGCGGUAAUACGGAGGAUCCGAGCGUUAUCCGGAUUUAUUGGGUUUAAAGGGAGCGUAGGCGGACGCUUAAGUCAGUUGUGAAAGUUUGCGGCUCAACCGUAAAAUUGCAGUUGAUACUGGGUGUCUUGAGUACAGUAGAGGCAGGCGGAAUUCGUGGUGUAGCGGUGAAAUGCUUAGAUAUCACGAAGAACUCCGAUUGCGAAGGCAGCUUGCUGGACUGUAACUGACGCUGAUGCUCGAAAGUGUGGGUAUCAAACAGGAUUAGAUACCCUGGUAGUCCACACAGUAAACGAUGAAUACUCGCUGUUUGCGAUAUACAGUAAGCGGCCAAGCGAAAGCGUUAAGUAUUCCACCUGGGGAGUACGCCGGCAACGGUGAAACUCAAAGGAAUUGACGGGGGCCCGCACAAGCGGAGGAACAUGUGGUUUAAUUCGAUGAUACGCGAGGAACCUUACCCGGGCUUGAAUUGCAACUGAAUGAUGUGGAGACAUGUCAGCCGCAAGGCAGUUGUGAAGGUGCUGCAUGGUUGUCGUCAGCUCGUGCCGUGAGGUGUCGGCUUAAGUGCCAUAACGAGCGCAACCCUUAUCGAUAGUUACCAUCAGGUUAUGCUGGGGACUCUGUCGAGACUGCCGUCGUAAGAUGUGAGGAAGGUGGGGAUGACGUCAAAUCAGCACGGCCCUUACGUCCGGGGCUACACACGUGUUACAAUGGGGGGUACAGAAGGCAGCUACACGGCGACGUGAUGCUAAUCCCGAAAGCCUCUCUCAGUUCGGAUUGGAGUCUGCAACCCGACUCCAUGAAGCUGGAUUCGCUAGUAAUCGCGCAUCAGCCACGGCGCGGUGAAUACGUUCCCG